UUUCCGUAGGUGAACCUGCGGAAGGAUCAUUAUUGAAUGAAACACUUCUGGCUUUAUGCUGUUGUGCUGGCCCUUUGGGCAAUGUGCACACGGCUCUGGUCACUUGUUUCUUCUGUUCCACCUGUGCACUGCCUGUAGACACGCUGUGUCUAUGAUAUUUGUUAACACACAACAAUGUUAGUUGGCAUGUUAUAUAUAAUAAUAAAAUAUACAACUUUCAACAACGGAUCUCUUGGCUCUCGCAUCGAUAAAGAACGCAGC
rnacentral:misc_RNA from 1 species